rnacentral:rRNA from 1 species
CCUACGGGUGGCUGCAGUGAGGAAUAUUGGUCAAUGGCCGGAAGGCUGAACCAGCCAUGCCGCGUGAAGGUCAGUGCCCUAUGGGCGUUAAACUUCUUUUGUGCGGGAGCAAUAAUGGUCACGUGUGGCCAGACGAGAGUACCGUACGAUUAAGCAUCGGCUAACUCCGUGCCAGCAGCCGCGGUAAUACGGGGGAGGCAAGCGUGAUCCGGAUUUAUGGGGUUUAAAGGGGGCGUAGGCGGGGAGGUAGGUUAGCGGUGAAUUCCCCCGCUCAAAGGGGUGAAGUGCCAUUGAUACUGCCUUGCUGGAAUGCGGAUGCGGUGGGAGGAAUGUGUGGUGUAGCGGUGAAAUGCAUAGAUAUCACACAGAACACCGAUUGCGAAGGCAUCUCACGAAUCCGCGAUUGACGCUGAUGCACGAAAGCGUGGGUAUCAAACAGGAUUAGAUACCCUAGUAGUC